AACACAUGUUGUGGACAUUGUCAAAGUUAACCUUUGUAUCUUUCAUAUGCUUCAUAAUAGGGCUCUGAAUCAAGCUGUGAGAAUGUAGUGAUUUCAUGUCUCAACUU
rnacentral:snoRNA from 1 species